AUGAUCCUCCACAUGCUGUGAGUCUCAGCGGCGUCAUGCACAGCAAGCCACGUGAAAAGAUGUAUGGAUUGACUGUCUCAGAAGCAGAGGCAACUGAGACUUGUCCUCCGCCACCUGGAUUGAGUUGUCCGGAACAGCUGUCAAGGCAAACCACAGUCCCAUUUUGUGGGCAACAGUAGGAGGAACUGAGCUGGCUGUCAAUCAGCAGUCGGCCUUGGGCCUGAGGAGUGCUUUGAAAUCUACCAAGAAAGCUUUGAAAUCUACUUCACACUCGUUUCUCCAGAGUGUUCCUGUAAAGUGGCUCUGGAGUGCAGCAUUUCUAGUUUGACCAUCUUCGUUGCUACACACUCUCACGGUGAAAUCGUAAGGAUUCAUACGACUUUUCUAAAUUUGGCUACUUCGUAUGAAUUUGUACGACUUUCACUACAGCCAAUGAAUUUUCAUGAGACUGGGUUGUCAUAUUGA